rnacentral:rRNA from 1 species
GAGACCCCUGCCGUUAAUUGCUACCUUUACUCGUGAGAGUUAGGGGCUAGUUAACGGGACUGCUGCCGCUAAGGCGGAGGAAGGAGGGGGCCACGGCAGGUCAGUAUGCCCCGAAACCCUCGGGCCACACGCGGGCUGCAAUGGUAGGGACAAAGGGCUCCGACCUCGAAAGAGGAAGGCAAUCCUCAAACCCUACCUCAGUUGUGAUUGAGGGCUGCAACUCGCCCUCAUGAAUAUGGAAUCCCUAGUAAUCGCGCGUCACUACCGCGCGGUGAAUAC